UGCAUGAGAUAUUAUCCUCCAAAUCCACAUGCCCGCUGCCCCCUCUUUUCUCCUUCAUACACAGACCAGAGCCAUCACAGUGAGAACCAGGAAGUCUCGAGCUGAGGUGCAACAUCAACAACAUUCCAGCAGGAUUGUCCUCUCCGCAUAGUUCUACCUAACACAAUCAAUCAAAGGGCCGACUCGCAAAGUUAAACUGAGACGCCUUGGAGCAAAACACAGCAGAGACGAAGCCAGCAGUGGAGCCAGGAUGAUAAGGCUGUUCACAUCUGUCACUCACACUGCCGAGGGCAGGUCAGCCAGCACAGACCAUUCCAGCCUGUGGUUGCCCACCUCCAUGUCCAGACUCACUCUACUCUCCGCAGUCCCUCCCUCAUUGAAAGUGCUGCUGGUCAUGGGGCUACUUAAUGGGGUUAAAAUGGCAGCUGCUGCCCCUCUCCCACCCACCCCCUCAGGCAAGAACAUGGAGAAUGCCCACCCCACCCACUCCACACCCCUGGAGCCUCGUCCCCUGCUCCACCGAGGGAGUCAGACAACAACCAGAAGCCUCUCUGAAGCUCAACACUGUCUACUGUCCAGAUUCUACUUCCAGCAUUGAUUGUGAUGGCUCAGCGGUUGUGGCAUGUCAGAGAUAAGAGUGAGAGGGAGGGACUUGGUGUGAUGGGCUAACGAGAUGGCCUCCUCUAAUCUGGUCAUCCCUGUCCGGCUCCAAACUCUGCCCAGCGAGCCCUCCACCGAGCACCGCUAUCUACACACAACACCAUUAAAGAAACACGGCACAUUUUUAAAGCUCUUUAGUUAGAAAUGUUGCUUUGAUGUGGGUUGCACUUUCGCUUAUCUGAAACCUUUCCUGUAAUGGAUAAAUUGCUGGUGCAGCCAAAUAGGCCUACUGCUCAACAGCGUUUGGAGUUGUUAACGUCUAGAACUUGGGAACUAGAACUAUGACUGUACAAAAAACUGAUUCAGAUAUAAUAAAAUAUAAAAUAUUCAGAUUAUCACUCCUACUAAUAGUUAACUGCCAUGAUUUAAAGAUUUUAGACCUAUUUAAUGUUAAUAAUGAUAUAAUUAAGGUUAAUACAUACAUCAUGCAGUACGUAUAUAUGUACAGCACCUCAGGACAUUUACCAGAGAAGUGAGGCCACAAAGAUAUUCUUUGCAAUCGUACAGUGUAACUGUAAACCUACGAUAACUUUACUGAGCAGUAUGUUUUAAAAAUUGUUCAUCGUAAUGAUGCCAUUUAAUAUGCAGUAUUACUGAUGUAUUGGAAUGUAUUAGUAAGACAUCAAUUUUGGUCUAUAAUCAGCAUCUUUCUUUAAUGUGUUAUGCCCUGCCUGCCCAGAUUGCUCAUGGCAUGGAGCUCUCCGAGGGCUGAGGACUGUCCGUGCUGCUUGUGUUUGGUUGCCGUUGCAGCCGGCGUGUGUGGUCACUCCUCAGUGCCCCUCAGUGGCUGGUCCAGCUGUGACCCCCCGGGGCCUGGCCCCAGCCUGCUGUCACCCACCACACACACACACACACACACACACACACACACACACAUAAUACACACCAUACACACCAUACACACCAUACACACUCAUAUCCCCCUCGUUAAAGUCCAAACCAGGCGUCUGCCAGCUGGCCACUUGGGUCCUUUAAAGAUGCUCAUUUAGGCCGUGUGACAUCAAGGCCAGUGCGGCAGAACUGUAAUUGUGUUAGGGCCCACACCAGACGCCCCGUGCCCCGCUCCCCUGACUAAUCAAAGAGCUGGGGUCACCCCACUGGGCCGAGAGGGGAUGACCACCACACUGUACCAUCAGAUAACACACACACACACACACACACACACACACACACACACACACACAUACAGAGAUAACCAGAGCGCUCUGAUCUCUGCUGGGCUCAGGCACAGAUGCUGAUGGCCUGGGUCUGAUGAAAGCAGAGAGAGUGAUCGGGCAUCCAGCACAGAGGUACUAUGUGCGUGAGCGUGUUUGGUUGUGUGUGUGUGUGUGUGUGUGUGUGUGUGUGUGUGUGUGACAUUUUUACCAAGACUGAUCACGUCAUAAUGUUGUAUAAUAAUAGUACUACAUUGCUACUACAUUAGGCACAUUUUCAAUUGAAUUAAAACAUUACACAAAAAUACAUGUGUAUUAAU